CAGACACACACACAGAGAGAGAAUCAGAGACAAAUAUAGCAGGAGAGAUAAAAAAGAAAAAAAGACCGAGUUCAUCACAUUCGAAACGAUGUUGUAC
rnacentral:ribozyme from 14 species